rnacentral:rRNA from 1 species
UACGAAGGGGGCUAGCGUUGCUCGGAAUCACUGGGCGUAAAGCGCACGUAGGCGGAUCCUUAAGUCGGGGGUGAAAUCCUGGAGCUCAACUCCAGAACUGCCUUCGAUACUGAGGAUCUCGAGUCCGGGAGAGGUGAGUGGAACUGCGAGUGUAGAGGUGAAAUUCGUAGAUAUUCGCAAGAACACCAGUGGCGAAGGCGACUUACUGGACGACUGUUGACGCUGAGGUGCGAAAGCGUGGGGAGCAAACAGG